GCCACCCGCCCACGCCUUUGACUCCAGCCAGGACUCAAUGGAGGGACGAAGUUUGUAACCCUGGCUUAGCCUCUAUUGGAAUCACAGAGAUGUCACGGAAAGUGCAAUCGGGAAAUGGAUUGUCUCCAUCUCUGCUCAUAGAAAGCAGGGCCCAAGUGUACAGGCAGGGCGUUUGUAUUUGAAGUUGUAUUAACUAGCUCCCUCUGCAAUUCCACAUACUAAAUUAUGACGUCCUCCUCGGAGCAGCAGCAUAAUGGACAACAGGUACGUCACACAGGUUGCCCAAAGCAGAGCAACUCCACUCUGCUUCUUUUCCUGGGAAACGGAAGGAUAGAGAGUUCCAAGGUAGCCUGGGCUACACAGCUAGAUCUUAUCUCAAAAAAGGUGCCAGAGAUGAUGGUGUAAGUCUACAGCUCUGCACUCCAGAAGUUACAUUAUUACAACCCAGUAGACACUAGGAGGCAAAGCCUGGUUGGGAGAAGUGUACCCUGCCCUGUGCUUUUGGAGGAUAUGUGUGUCCUGGGAAAACCGAAGGAGAGAGGGUAUACUACGAUCUUCAGAGGUACAAAAUAGAGAUUCUCAGGGGCUGGAGGGAUGGCCCAGAAGUUAAAGGCACUUGCCGAUCUUUCAGAGGGGCUAGGUUAGGUUGCCAGCACCCAACAUUAUUUUAUUUAAAUUCAAAAAAUAAUGACUCUGAGUCGGGGUUUGGAGAGGUGCAAAGCGACCCAGAAGUGAAAUGUUGUGUCUUAGCUAAAGGUGAACUAUUUCCAACAGAUGUUACUAUUAUUUAUCCCAUGAUAUAAAGACGCCUGCAGGAAGAAGGGAAGCCAAGAUGGUCAGCCACGGGGAAGCUCAUCCACGGAGGGAAAGCUCAAUCGCUGACCAUCUCGGCAAUCGGCAAUUGUCAGUUUCCGCACGAUGUUUGAAAGCUCCCACCCCUUGCUGCCGCCUCUGCUCUGCACCAUGCUUCAGCCUUCUGUAGCCCCGCCCGUCGCCCCGCCCGUCGCCUCUGACAUGUUUUGAAUCCCGGAUUUGAUAGAUGUCUGUCUGCUGCUUUUGUCUGUCUGUCAUUUGCUGCUUACUCUUUCGCUUGCUAUAUAAUGAAUAAAUUCACAUAUUGGAAACUAAA
rnacentral:lncRNA from 1 species